ensembl:lncRNA
UGACCAUUCACUGGAUGGCGAUCAUGCCAAUCCUUGACUCCUGGCAAAUGAGCUUAGAGCUGGCGCUGGAGGAAGUGGUCCCCGGUUGACCUUUAAGCUCCACCUACAGUCGCCAGCCCUUCAGGUUCCUUCCUGCCUGUACACCGCCAUCUCAGCCUCGGUCGUGGUGGGCCAGUCUGCAGGCCACCCCCUUCCAUUCCUGUCGUGGGGCCCACACCAGCAACUUCACAGACUCCUGUUCCCUGUGCAGCUGACAUCUCUGCCGCCCACACCCACACCCUGCGGUCUGUGCUGCCAACGGCAUCUCCUCCGCGACUCUAAGCUCGGCGGCUGCCAUCUUCCCCGUGGACAUCACUGCAGGCCCAUCACCGUCUGGCACAGUCUCUCCUGCCAUGUCUGCCACAGAGGAGCACGACUGGAUGCCAGUGAAAGGAAUACUUUUUCAACGAAGUUCUGACAGAAACAUACCAGAUGCGGUCAGACCCAGAUGAUUCUGAUCCCUUCUCCAAAGGGCCAGAAAUAAUCAGCAGCACAGGGUGUGAAAUCUACUGGAAAGACGGUAAAGACCUCACCCUGAAAACCCUGAAGCUGCAGAAAUUUCCGGUCCCAAAGUCUGUAUUAUACUUCACGAAAGAAGCGAGUGAUUAUCAGUAUGAAGAGUCUGAUGAAGAGGUCCAAGAAGCUGAAGGUGAGGAGGAGGACAGCGAUAAAAAACCAGAAGAAGGACCUGGAAAGGACCUGGACCCAGCAGAGGACAGCCCCGGAGAACCCAGCUGUCAAGCAUAGAAAGACAUGAUGGAGGAAGAAACAAUGGACGUGUCCCUCACGAAUGAGAUUUUCGGCUUCUCAGUAGCCAGUGGGAAUUUUAUCAACACUGGUUUUGUUCCAGAUUUCAUCAUGUGAAAUGUCUUAUCCACUGACAUCUGACUUUUUUUCUUACAUUUGUCAGAUAUAUUUGACUGCGUUUGUUCAUGAUAAAAAUAAAAAUUUGCUAGCCAUGGAUAAGCCGCAGAUUUUUCUGAUGUGUAACACUGAUGCAAAUCUUGUAUCUUUUUGUUUUUG